GACAGAGGGUGCAAACGUUGCUCGGAAUUACUGGGCGUAAAGCGCGUGUAGGUGGAUUGGUGUGUCAGAUGUGAAAUCCCUGGGCUCAACCCAGGAACUGCACCUGAAACUACCAGUCUUGAGUGGUGGAGAGGGAAGUGGAAUUCCUGGUGUAGAGGUGAAAUUCGUAGAGAUGUGGAGGAACACCGAUGGCGAAGGCAGCCCCCUGGGCUAACACUGACGCUCAUGCACGAAAGCGUGGGGAGCAAACAGG
rnacentral:rRNA from 1 species